rnacentral:rRNA from 1 species
GAUGAACGCUGGCGGCGUGCCUAAUACAUGCAAGUCGAGCGAACAGACGAUGAGCUUGCUCCUCUGACGUUAGCGGCGGACGGGGUAGUAAAACUUGGCUAACCUACCUAUCAGACUGGGAUAACUUCGGGAAACCGGAGCUAUUACCGUAUCACAUGUUGAACCGCAUGGUUCAACAGUGAAAGACGGUCUUGCUGUCACUUAUAGAUGUAUCCGCGCCGCAUUAGCUAGUUGGUAAGGUAACGGCUUACCAAGGCAACGAUGCGUAGCCGACCUGAGAGGGGGAUCGGGCGCACGGGAACUGAGAGGGGGUCCGGAAUACGAGGGGAGGCAGCAGUAGGGGAAGUAGCGAAAAGGGUGAAAGAAUGAAGGAAAGACGGAGCGAGAGAGAAGAAGGUCAUGAGAAAGUAAAACGGUGUGAAUAGGGAAGAACAAAGGUGGAAGUAACUAUGCAGGUGUAGAAGGUACCUAAUGAGAAAGCCACGGCUAACUACGUG